rnacentral:rRNA from 1 species
CCUACGGGAGGCUGCAGUGAGGAAUAUUGGUCAAUGGCCGCAGGGCUGAACCAGCCAAGCCGCGUGAGGGAUGACGGUCCUAUGGAUUGUAAACCUCUUUUGUCAGGGAGCAAAGGGCGCCACGUGUGGCGCUUUGCGAGUACCUGAAGAAACAGCAUCGGCUAACUCCGUGCCAGCAGCCGCGGUAAUACGGAGGAUGCGAGCGUUAUCCGGAUUUAUUGGGUUUAAAGGGUGCGCAGGCGGAAUGUCAAGUCAGCGGUAAAAUUUCGGGGCUCAAUCCCGUCGUGCCGUUGAAACUGGCGUUCUUGAGUGAGCGAGAAGUAUGCGGAAUGCGUGGUGUAGCGGUGAAAUGCAUAGAUAUCACGCAGAACUCCGAUUGCGAAGGCAGCAUACCGGCGCUCAACUGACGCUCAGGCACGAAAGCGUGGGUAUCGAACAGGAUUAGAUACCCCAGUAGUC